GGAAGCUGUCUCUCCGCGGGCCGGAGAAGCUCGUCUGUCAGCUCACGCUGGAAACUUGGGAACUAAGAGGAAACAGCUAUGAGCAGAGCAGGAUACCUCUCAUGGGCUUCUGUGACCUUUUACAUCCUGUCAGGAUCUUUCACACACUCUGGGGAUACAGGCAGAGCCUGUAACAGCAGGUACCAAAGAAUCACCAGGUUGGAAACUAUAUCCUUCUCCAGCAUUCCAGGAGCAGAGGCUCAAAGCAAUGGUUGGAGAAUGGCUGGAGCCUCAGUAUGGGUCACGGCAAGAAGUCAAAGGUGGGGCCGGCAAGGCGGCUCAACCAGUACAGAAGUUUGUCGCGAAGAUCGCUCAUCUAGAUACAACCACUGCGACCUCCCAUGGAAGGUGAGGACAAACACCGGAGCACUGUCCUCUGACCACCACAUGCUUGCUCUGUCACACAGGCAACUCAAGAAUACAUAACUGUGGCUGGGUUUGGUGGUGCAUACCUUUAAUCCCAGCACUUGGAAGGCAGAGGCAGGCGGAUCUCUGUGAGUUUGAGGCCAGCCAAAGCUACACAGUGAGACCCUAUCACAUAAAAAAAAAAUUUAAGGAGUGUUAAAAAUGUUUCUAAAGAAUAUGAACUAUAUUAGUAUUGGAGGCACCAGCAGUCAUGAUAUUCUGGCGCAGAUAAUCAUGGGAAUGGGUUGGGGUGAGUGCAGUCUUUCUAGUGUUAUAGGUGAUAAAACAAGACAUGAUACAGGAAGUGUGCACAUGCGCACACACCCACCACAACCACCCUAAGAGCUUUUGCUGCCCAGAGAAGUCCACUGGCCAUCAUAAGAAUAUGUGAUUAAACUAACUGAACAGCCAUUUAAAAAUUGCAUUUCUUUUAUACUUUAUGUGCUUGAGUACUUUGCCUGCACAUACAUAUGUGCACCACAUACCACGUGACUGGUGCCUGCUGAGAUAAUGUAUUAACGUUUUUGACAAUGUCAUGUAUGUACAUAAUUUUGGUCACUCUCGCCAUUACUGUCUCGCAUCUCUCCCCUACUUCCACUGAGCCUCCGCAAGCACCUUUUUUAUUUACAUAAAGGAAGGGAGGCUAUUGCCGCAAACAGAAACAACUGGGAAUGUUUGUUUUCCAUGACAAAAGUCAAGCUUGCAAGUGGAAAUGGAAUUCUGGGGAGGCUCAGGCUGCCAUGCUAAACUUUGAUUCAAGCAGCAGGUAGAGACAUAAAGAGAUGUGUCCUUUCAAAGUUACAGAACGAGCUGUGUCAACAUCUAGAUGCAAAGGAGCUCCUAAAGACAAUAAGUUAUGCUACAAGUUAAAUAGACCCAAGAUCCCAGUGUGACAGGAAGGCUCAAGUACAGAGCACAGAAAGUUCAUGACAUCAGGUUCGCUCUGACUUUAAAGAAAUUGUUGGGGUUGGGGUGUAGCUGAACUGGUGGGGUGCUUGUCUAGCAUGCACAAGGCCCAAAGGCAAUCUCUAACAGCAAAUAAAGCAGGUGUGGCGGCAGCAGCCUGUAACGCCAGCAGCAGCCUGUAACGCCAGCACAUAGGGCACCUAAGCAAGGGGGUCAGAAAUACAAGGCGCUCUGUUACAGAUCAAAUUCGGGACCAGCUCAGAGACAGGAGACCCGGUCUCAAAAAACAAAAACAACAUAAAUAAAUCCUAAUUACAGGCUGGAUUAAAACAGAUUAGCUGGGCAGUGGUGGCAGACACCUUUAAUCCCAGCACUUGGGAGGCAGAGACAGGCGGAUUUCUGAGUUCGAGGCCAGCCUGGUCUACAGAGUGAGUUCCAGGACAACCAGGGCUACACAGAGAAACCCUGUCUCAAAACAAAACCCAAAAAAACCCCAAACCAUGUUAUUGUUCUUGCCAAGAACGUGAGCUGGUUCCCAGCACCCAUCAGGCAGCUAACUGCUGGGAAGUCUGCAGGGUCCAACACUGUCUUCUGGCCUCUAGGGUUCUGCACUCACGUGUGUGGCCCUGUGUGCCUGUGGCAGGGCAGCCUGUGCGGAGUUUGGAUCAAACCUUUACCUGCUGACGCAUCUUCCUGACACCUACAACUUUGGAAUUUGACUUUAGGUAGCCCUGGGUAGCCUGAAACUUUCUGUGUAGACCAGGCUGACCUCAACUCCACAGAGAUCUGUCUGUCUGCUUCUGUUUCCUGUGUACUAAGAUUAAAGGCAUAGGCCCAGCAAAAAUGGACUUUUAAAUAAAAUUGGUUCUCCUACCAA
rnacentral:lncRNA from 1 species